UUAUACCUACUUACCGCUUGUAUAUAGUUGUAUUUAUUGAUAUAUAUAUAUAUACUUAAUACUUAUAUAUAUAUUGAUAUAUACGCGUAUACAUAAUACAUAAUUAUAUAUAUAGCGCAUGUCUCCGUUGUAGAAAAUAAUAAUUGUUGUAAUGCAGUUAUUAAAAAAAAAAAAUCUCGGUGCAUCAGUUUUCUGUAUAUGGUAUCAUACCGACGGACAAGGCAAUUAUAUAAAUGAAAAGAUACACACGAAUGAUAUACAAAACGCACGGCUUAUAUUCGCCGCUAUACAUCAUAUAGAUAUAUACGCGCAUUGUAAAAAGAUACUAUAUUUUUUGAACUGUAUAUGUAUAUGUAACUAUAUGGUUUGUCGUAGAUAGAGACGAUAGAGCAUAAUGUUCAAAUCGUAUAUAAUUUACACGAUUAUGUGCCUGUAAUGCGUAAUACAUUCAAUUUGUAUAUGAAUAAGUUAUACAUUAAAUACGGCACUGCAGUAUACUUUGAUCGAUUGAUUUUUAUAAUGUACUAUACAUAGUAGGUAUAUACGUACACCGUUACAAUAGAAUACUCACGUAUUGAAUACGUGUACAUUAGAUAUAACUUGGUCUGCUGACUGCUUUGGAUCAUUUAGGAAUGAUUUUAAUGUUGUAUGAGAGUACGAAUUUCUAGUUAUACUGAAAACGAUAUGUUUAUAAAAAUCGAGUCGUAUUCAGUUAUAGACUUUACAAGGUCAAAAUGGAGGGACUUGACCACUGGAGUGUGUUUGCCUGUUUAUUUGAUUAGCGGUUAUUUUAACAAAACGUAUAAUAUGAUUGAUACAUAGGUAUAUAUGAUUUGUAUGUAUUUUGUAAUGAAUAUGUAAACAAAGGGGGAAAAAGGAAUCAAGACGAAGCUUUAUUCGCAUCUGCAGAUAUAGUGAAUUUUAAUAAAAAGUUAAAAACUAUCGUUUUGCAAUAAAUAUUAAUUAUGAUCAUAAUAAUAUUAUUAUAUAAUUAAGUUUAUGUUUUUGGACAGUGGACCUAUAGUGUAAUGUUGUUUUAAAAAUGGAAGACUUUAACGAUUGGUAACAACGAAGCCAAAUAUAUUACGACGUACAAUAAUUAUAUCAAGAUAAUUCGUAAGAAGAAGACUUUUCUAAUGGGCAGUAAAAGUUGACAGUUAAUUUGGAAGUAAUUUUUUCCACAACUUUCGAUUCAUACAAUUAUUUUCAGCUCUUUCAUAGGACACAUUAUUGAGCAGUGGACGAUCAGUUCUAAAAACUUUAUACGUACAUCUCUAUAAACCCAUUAGGAAUGAAUACUAUAAUGUCACUUUAAAGUGGUUAUAGCUUUUUUUUAGAAUCUUUAUGAAAAUCUAGUUUAUAUUUAUUAUGCUCUUUGACGAUACCGCGAAGUCCUGGAUGGUUACCUGCACUUUGACGAUCCAGUUACAAGUAGGAACUUUUUAGGAAGCUGGUAUGCAAGAUACACUAAAGCCUCCAAAAUUGAUCUCGGGCCACAUUGUGCUGCAUUAGGAUUAAUUUCUUUACCAAACUAAUGACAUUCGCAAAACCUGCAUUACCUACUUGGGCGUUCAACUGAAAUUACUAAUUGGUUUCUCGUCGAAGAAAAAACUAAUUCAAGAUUAUACCUGCGUACACAAACGUGACAUCAGAAGUCCGGAACUAUAAGAAAUUCAGACGUUAUUUUGGCAACUGUAAGGACUGUAACCAAUACUCAAUCAUUCGAUGAAGAAGAGAAACAAUAAUGUACUGAGCCAAAAAUACAAACACGGAUUCAUUAUAAAGAAUUGAGGUGAUUUGUUGAAAACUAACUAGCAGAGAUCAGUUUGAAGCUUUAAAUAAAGUUUAACAAUUUACUAAUACUUCGAUCAACGGCAAAACAUUAAACAAAAAUAAAUACUUUUCUAAA